AACGAACGCUGGCGGCAUGCCUAACACAUGCAAGUCGAACGAGACCUUCGGGUCGAGUGGCGCACGGGUGCGUAACGCGUGGGAACCUGCCCUUAGGUUCGGAAUAACUCCCCGAAAGGGGUGCGAAUACCGGAUAAUGUCUUCGGACCAAAGAUUUAUGGCCUUUGGAUGGGCCCGCGUUGGAUUAGCUAGUUGGUAGGGUAAAAGCCUACCAAGGCGACGAUCCAUAGCUGGUCUGAGAGGAUGAUCAGCCACACUGGGACUGGGACACGGCCCAGACUCCUACGGGAGGCAGCAGUGGGGAAUAUUGGACAAUGGGCGAAAGCCUGAUCCAGCAAUGCCGCGUGAGUGAUGAAGGCCUUAGGGUUGUAAAGCUCUUUUACCCGGGAUGAUAAUGACAGUACCGGGAGAAUAAGCUCCGGCUAACUCCGUG
rnacentral:rRNA from 1 species